rnacentral:lncRNA from 1 species
AAAGGAAAAAAAUAAAAUCUUUAAAAAAGAUAAAAAAAAGAAUCUUAUCAUGCCACACCUGGUAAGGGCUUGGAGCCGCCUGUCCUGCGCAGAGACCCCCUGGGCAGGGCGUCGCAGGGUGGAGCCUUAUGUAAAUAUCCUCAAGCUCUAGGUUGAGUCAUUUCUUCCACCACACCCCUUCUGCUCACUCCUUCCUCCCACAGUGAGAUGAAACCCGUCCACCGGUGGGGGAAGGGGGGGUAAGUGGCAGAAGAAGAGGGGGCUUCAAAACUGAGUCUAGGAUAUCGUGCCACCAGGGAAAUUGUCCAUUAUCAGUCUCUCUUCAACGGACCUGCUUGGAAACACAAAUAUGUCCAGGAAGAUUAGCCCUGAGCUAACGACUGCCAAUCCUCCUCUUUUUGCUGAGGAAGACUGGCCCUGAGCUACCAUCCAUGCCCAUCUUCCUCUACUUUAUAUGUGGGAUGCCUACCGCAGCAUGGCAUGCCAAGCGGUGCCAUGUCUGCACCCAGGAUCCGAACCGGCGAACCCAGGGCCGCCGAGAAGUGGAACGUGCAAACUUAACCACUGCGC